GAUGAACGCUGGCGGCGUGCCUAAUACAUGCAAGUCGAGCGAACAGAUGAGGAGCUUGCUCCUCUGACGUUAGCGGCGGACGGGUGAGUAACACGUGGAUAACCUACCUAUAAGACUGGGAUAACUUCGGGAAACCGGAGCUAAUACCGGAUAAUAUAUUGAACCGCAUGGUUCAAUAGUGAAAGACGGUUUUGCUGUCACUUAUAGAUGGAUCCGCGCCGCAUUAGCUAGUUGGUAAGGUAACGGCUUACCAAGGCAACGAUGCGUAGCCGACCUGAGAGGGUGAUCGGCCACACUGGAACUGAGACACGGUCCAGACUCCUACGGGAGGCAGCAGUAGGGAAUCUUCCGCAAUGGGCGAAAGCUUGACGGAGCAACGCCGCGUGAGUGAUGAAGGUCUUCGGAUCGUAAAACUCUGUUAUUAUGGAAGAACAAAUGUGUAAGUAACUAUGCACGUCUUGACGGUACCUAAUCAGAAAGCCACGGCUAACUACGUG
rnacentral:rRNA from 1 species